AGGCUGGAAUACAUGGGGAUCAAAUGCAGAGAAUGGAGAAAGGAGGGAAGGAUGGGGGGACAUUUCGAGGAAAGGAAAGGAGAGGGAGAAAAGGGGAGAGAAAAGGUGAAGAGCCUGCGAGGUCAAGCUGCAGAGAACAUGAGCUUCUACCUCCAGAUGUGCCAGGGUGCAUCUCGUGGGUGCAAGAACAAGGGUUUUGUUUUGUUUUACAAAAUCAAAGUACAAAUCUCAAAUAGAAUAAUAUUUCUAAACCAUUAUUGGGACAUGCUUUGCAUAAAUCAGUGUAUCUAUUUGAAAUGUACAGCUCAUUGAGUUGUACUGCUUGGCUGUUUUACACACCCACAUAUCCACUACCACAAUGAAGAUAAAGAAAUAACAUUUCCAUAGUCCCCUAAAGAAUAGCCACGCGAUAAAAUUCCAUGCAGUCCUUAAAAAGAGGAGGAUAAAUUUUUAAGUAUUGUUAUGAGAAGAUCUGUGCCCAGCCUACUUUUAUCCAUUUUUAAAAGGACGAGGAUAUAUGGAAUUAUAAUACCAGUAAUACCACUUACAUAAUAUAUAUUUUAAGUAGGGGAAAACAUGGAGGAUUAUUCCCCAAAAUUUUGACAGGGACCCCAGGGACUGGGAUAACGUUGUGACUUUCACCUUCUCUGAAAUGUUGGAAUUUUAUAUUACAGAAUAAACUUGGAUUUUGGCCAGGCGCGGCGGCUCAGGCCUGUAAUCCCAGCUCUGGAAGCUGAAGGAUAGCUUGAGCCCAGGAGUUCGAGGCUGCAGUGAGCUAUGAUCUCACCACUACACUCCAGCCUGGGUGACAGCAAGAGAUCUUGUCUCAGAAAUAAAUAAAUAAAAUUUAAAAAUAAAAAUAAUAAA